UACGUAGGGACCAAGCGUUGUUCGGAAUUAUUGGGCGUAAAGAGCUUGUAGGCGGUUUGUCGCGUCUGCUGUGAAAAUCCGGGGCUCAACCCCGGACUUGCAGUGGGUACGGGCAGACUAGAGUGUGGUAGGGGAGACUGGAAUUCCUGGUGUAGCGGUGAAAUGCGCAGAUAUCAGGAGGAACACCGAUGGCGAAGGCAGGUCUCUGGGCCACUACUGACGCUGAGAAGCGAAAGCAUGGGGAGCGAACAGG
rnacentral:rRNA from 1 species